rnacentral:miRNA from 1 species
ACUGAAGUAGAGAUUGGGUUU